rnacentral:rRNA from 1 species
GAUGAACGCUGGCGGCGUGCCUAAUACAUGCAAGUCGAGCGAACGGAUGAGAAGCUUGCUUCUCUGAUGUUAGCGGCGGACGGGUGAGUAACACGUGGAUAACCUACCUAUAAGACUGGGAUAAAUUCGGGAAACCGGAGCUAAUACCGGAUAAUAUUUUGAACCGCAUGGUUCAAAAGUGAAAGACGGUCUUGCUGUCACUUAUAGAUGGAUCCGCGCUGCAUUAGCUAGUUGGUAAGGUAACGGCUUACCAAGGCAACGAUGCAUAGCCGACCUGAGAGGGUGAUCGGCCACACUGGAACUGAGACACGGUCCAGACUCCUACGGGAGGCAGCAGUAGGGAAUCUUCCGCAAUGGGCGAAAGCCUGACGGAGCAACGCCGCGUGAGUGAUGAAGGUCUUCGGAUCGUAAAACUCUGUUAUUAGGGAAGAACAUAUGUGUAAGUAACUGUGCACAUCUUGACGGUACCUAAUCAGAAAGCCACGGCUAACUACGUG